rnacentral:rRNA from 1 species
AUUGAACGCUGGCGGCAUGCCUAACACAUGCAAGUCGAACGGCAGCACAAUAAAGAUUUCGGUCUUUAUGGGUGGCGAGUGGCGGACGGGUGAGUAACGCGUAGGAAUCUGUCCUGGAGAGUGGGAUAACCCGAGGAAACUCGGGCUAAUACUGCAUGACAUUGAGAGAUCAACAGCAGGGGAACGAAAGGACUUGCGACCUGGGGUGAGCCUACGUCGGAUGAGCUAGUUGGAUGGGUAAAGGCCUACCAAGGCGACGAUCCGUAGCUGGUCUGAGAGGAUGACCAGCCACACUGGGACUGAGACACGGCCCAGACUCCUACGGGAGGCAGCAGUGGGGAAUCUUGGACAAUGGGGGAAACCCUGAUCCAGCGAUGCCGCGUGUGUGAAGAAGGCCUUCGGGUUGUAAAGCACUUUAGGUGGGGAAGAAAGGUAGCGAGUGAAUAACUUUCUGCUGUGACGGUACCCACAGAAUAAGCACCGGCUAACUCUGUGCCAGCAGCCGCGGUAA